AGUCGAGCGGUAGAGAGGUGCUUGCACCUCUUGAGAGCGGCGGACGGGUGAGUAAAGCCUAGGAAUCUGCCUGGUAGUGGGGGAUAACGCUCGGAAACGGACGCUAAUACCGCAUACGUCCUACGGGAGAAAGCAGGGGACCUUCGGGCCUUGCGCUAUCAGAUGAGCCUAGGUCGGAUUAGCUAGUUGGUGAGGUAAUGGCUCACCAAGGCGACGAUCCGUAACUGGUCUGAGAGGAUGAUCAGUCACACUGGAACUGAGACACGGUCCAGACUCCUACGGGAGGCAGCAGUGGGGAAUAUUGGACAAUGGGCGAAAGCCUGAUCCAGCCAUGCCGCGUGUGUGAAGAAGGUCUUCGGAUUGUAAAGCACUUUAAGUUGGGAGGAAGGGCAUUAACCUAAUACGUUAGUGUUUUGACGUUACCGACAGAAUAAGCACCGGCUAACUCUGUGCCAGCAGCCGCGGUAAUACAGAGGGUGCAAGCGUUAAUCGGAAUUACUGGGCGUAAAGCGCGCGUAGGUGGUUCGUUAAGUUGGAUGUGAAAUCCCCGGGCUCAACCUGGGAACUGCAUUCAAAACUGUCGAGCUAGAGUAUGGUAGAGGGUGGUGGAAUUUCCUGUGUAGCGGUGAAAUGCGUAGAUAUAGGAAGGAACACCAGUGGCGA
rnacentral:rRNA from 1 species